UACGUAGGGACCUAGCGUUGUCCGGAAUCAUUGGGCGUAAAGCGCGCGUAGGCGGCCCGGUAAGUCCGUUGUAAAAGUCAAAGGCUCAACCUUUGAAAGCCGGUGGAUACUGUCGGGCUAGAGUCCGGAAGAGGCGAGUGGAAUUCCUGGUGUAGCGGUGGAAUGCGCAGAUAUCAGGAGGAACACCGAUGGCGAAGGCAGCUCGCUGGGACGGUACUGACGCUGAGGCGCGAAAGCGUGGGGAGCGAACAGG
rnacentral:rRNA from 1 species